GGUUCCUCCCGCAACGCUACCUGUUCACCAGUCAGGUCCGGAAGGAAGCAGCCAGUGGCAGACGACGUGUGUGCCGGGAUGAAGGGUA
rnacentral:SRP_RNA from 1 species